rnacentral:rRNA from 1 species
GACGAACGCUGGCGGCGUGCUUAACACAUGCAAGUCGAACGGAAAGGCCCUGCUUUUGUGGGGUGCUCGAGUGGCGAACGGGUGAGUAACACAUGAGUAACCUGCCCUUGACUUUGGGAUAACUUCAGGAAACUGGGGCUAAUACCGGAUAGGAGCUCCUGCUGCAUGGUGGGGGUUGGAAAGUUUCGGCGGUUGGGGAUGGACUCGCGGCUUAUCAGCUUGUUGGUGGGGUAGUGGCUUACCAAGGCUUUGACGGGUAGCCGGCCUGAGAGGGUGACCGGCCACAUUGGGACUGAGAUACGGCCCAGACUCCUACGGGAGGCAGCAGUGGGGAAUAUUGCACAAUGGGCGGAAGCCUGAUGCAGCAACGCCGCGUGCGGGAUGACGGCCUUCGGGUUGUAAACCGCUUUCGCCUGUGACGAAGCGUGAGUGACGGUAAUGGGUAAAGAAGCACCGGCUAACUACGUGCCAGCAGCCGCGGUGAUACGUAGGGUGCGAGCGUUGUCCGGAUUUAUUGGGCGUAAAGGGCUCGUAGGUGGUUGAUCGCGUCGGAAGUGUAAUCUUGGGGCUUAACCCUGAGCGUGCUUUCGAUACGGGUUGACUUGAGGAAGGUAGGGGAGAAUGGAAUUCCUGGUGGAGCGGUGGAAUGCGCAGAUAUCAGGAGGAACACCAGUGGCGAAGGCGGUUCUCUGGGGCUUUCCUGACGCUGAGGAGCGAAAGCGUGGGGAGCGAACAGGCUUAGAUACCCUGGUAGUCCACGCUGUAAACGGUGGGUACUAGGUGUGGGGUCCAUUCCCACGGGUUCCGUGCCGUAGCUAACGCUUUAAGUACCCCGCCUGGGGAGUACGGCCGCAAGGCUAAAACUCAAAGGAAUUGACGGGGCCCCGCACAAGCGGCGGAGCAUGCGGAUUAAUUCGAUGCAACGCGUAGAACCUUACCUGGGUUUGACAUGGAUCGGGAGUGCUCAGAGAUGGGUGUGCCUCUUUUGGGGUCGGUUCACAGGUGGUGCAUGGCUGUCGUCAGCUCGUGUCGUGAGAUGUUGGGUUAAGUCCCGCAACGAGCGCAACCCUUGUUCACUGUUGCCAGCACGUUAUGGUGGGGACUCAGUGGAGACCGCCGGGGUCAACUCGGAGGAAGGUGGGGGUGACGUCAAGUCAUCAUGCCCCUUAUGUCCAGGGCUUCACGCAUGCUACAAUGGCUGGUACAGAGAGUGGCGAGCCUGUGAGGGUGAGCGAAUCUCGGAAAGCCGGUCUCAGUUCGGAUUGGGGUCUGCAACUCGACCUCAUGAAGUCGGAGUCGCUAGUAAUCGCAGAUCAGCAACGCUGCGGUGAAUACGUUCCCGGG